GAUGAACGCUGACAGAAUGCUUAACACAUGCAAGUCUACUUGAAUUGGGUUUUUUAACUUCGAUUUGGGUGGCGGACGGGUGAGUAACGCGUAAAGAACUUGCCUCACAGCUAGGGACAACAUUUGGAAACGAAUGCUAAUACCUGAUAUUAUGAUUAUAAGGCAUCUUAGAAUUAUGAAAGCUAUAUGCGCUGUGAGAGAGCUUUGCGUCCCAUUAGCUAGUUGGAGAGGUAACGGCUCACCAAGGCGAUGAUGGGUAGCCGGCCUGAGAGGGUGAACGGCCACAAGGGGACUGAGGCACGGCCCUUACUCCUACGGGAGGCAGCAGUGGGGAAUAUUGGACAAUGGACCAAGAGUCUGAUCCAGCAAUUCUGUGUGCACGAUGACGUUUUUCGGAAUGUAAAGUGCUUUCAGUUGGGAAGAAAGAAAUGACGGUACCAACAGAAGAAGUGACGGCUAAAUACGUG
rnacentral:rRNA from 1 species